rnacentral:rRNA from 1 species
GAUGAACGCUGGCGGCGUGCCUAAUACAUGCAAGUCGAGCGAACAGACGAUGAUCUUGCUCCUCUGACGUUAGCGGCGGACGGGUGAGUAACACGUGUAUAACCUACCUAUAAUACUGGGAUAACUUCGGGAAACCGGAGCUAAUACCGGAUAAUAUAUUGAACCGCAUGGUUCAAUAGUGAAAGUCGGUUUUUCUGUCUCUUAUAGAUGGAUCCGCGCCGCAUUAGCUAGUUGGUAAGGUAACGGCUUACCAAGGCAACUAUGCGUAGCCGACCUGAGAGGGUGAUCGGCCACACGGGAACUGAGACACGGUCCAGACGACUACGGGAGGCAGCAGUAGGGAAUGUUACGCAAUGGGCGAAAGCCGGACGGAGCAACGCGGCGUGAGUGAUGAAGGUCUUCGGAUCGUAAAACGCUGUUAGUAGGGAAGAACAAAUGUGUAAGUAACUAUGCACGUAUUGACGGUAACUAAUCAGAAAGCAACGGCUAACUACGUG